rnacentral:rRNA from 1 species
UGGGGAAUAUUGGACAAUGGGCGAAAGCCUGAUCCAGCCAUACCGCGUGUGUGAAGAAGGUCUUCGGAUUGUAACGCACUUUAAGUUGGGAGGAAGGGCAUUAACCUAAUACGUUAGUGUUUUGACGUUACCGACAGAAUAAGCACCGGCUAACUCUGUGCCAGCAGCCGCGGUAAUACAGAGGGUGCAAGCGUUAAUCGGAAUUACUGGGCGUAAAGCGCGCGUAGGUGGUUUGUUAAGUUGGAUGUGAAAUCCCCGGGCUCAACCUGGGAACUGCAUUCAAAACUGACUGACUAGAGUAUGGUAGAGGGUGGUGGAAUUUCCUGUGUAGCGGUGAAAUGCGUAGAUAUAGGAAGGAACACCAGUGGCGAAGGCGACCACCUGGACUAAUACUGACACUGAGGUGCGAAAGCGUGGGGAGCAAACA